AGAGUUUGAUCCUGGCUCAGAUUGAACGCUGGCGGCAUGCUUUACACAUGCAAGUCGAACGGCAGCACGGGGGCAACCCUGGUGGCGAGUGGCGAACGGGUGAGUAAUGCAUCGGAACGUGUCCUGUAAUGGGGGAUAACCUGGCGAAAGCCAGGCUAAUACCGCAUACGUCCUGAGGGAGAAAGCGGGGGAUCGCAAGACCUCGUGUUAUAGGAGCGGCCGAUGUCGGAUUAGCUAGUUGGUGGGGUAAGGGCCUACCAAGGCGACGAUCCGUAGCGGGUCUGAGAGGACGGCCCGCCACACUGGGACUGAGACACGGCCCAGACUCCUACGGGAGGCAGCAGUGGGGAAUUUUGGACAAUGGGGGCAACCCUGAUCCAGCCAUGCCGCGUGAGUGAAGAAGGCCUUCGGGUUGUAAAGCUCUUUCGGCCGGGAAGAAAUCGUGCGGGCUAA
rnacentral:rRNA from 1 species